GGUCGCGUAAAAGAAUAUAAUUGUCGGGGUCUUUGAGACUUUAGUGGUGCAGCUAACGCGAUAACCCCAUCGCCUGGGGAGUACCGUCGCAAGACUAAAACUCAAAUGAAUUGACGGGGGCCCGCACAAGCGGUGGAGCAUGUGGUUUAAUUCGAUGCAACGCGAACAACCUUACCUGGGCUUGACAUAGUAAGAACUUUCCAGAGAUGGAUUGGUGCCUUCGGGAACUUACAUACAGGUGCUGCAUGGCUGUCGUCAGCUCGUGUCGUGAGAUGUUGGGUUAAGUCCCGCAACGAGCGCAACCCUUUUCCUUAUUUGCCAGCGGGUUAAGCCGGGAACUUUAAGGAUACUGCCCGUGACCAACUGGAGGAAGGUGGGGACGACCUUCAGUCAUCCAUGGCCCCUUACGACCAGGGCUACACACGUGCUACAAUGGGGUCGGUACAAAUGGUUGCUACCCUAGCCGAUAAGAUGCUAAAUCCUCCAAAAAGACCCUAUUCUUAUCCCCGGAUUUGGUAGUUCCGUCAACCUCCACCUCCCAUGGAAGUCGGGAAAUUCUCCUAGUAAAUCCCCCGGAAACAAAAAAGGUCUGCGGGUGAAAAUAUGUUUUCCCGCGGGCCUUUGAUAAAACACCCGUCCCCGUCUAACAUCCAUUGGGGAGUUUUUGUUUUGCCCCCCAAAACU
rnacentral:rRNA from 1 species